GGACUUCUUUCGGCAGCACAUAUACUAAAAUUGGAAUGAUACGGAGGUUAGCACGGCUCUUACACAGGAUGACAGGCAAAUUUUGAGGCAUUCUAUGUUUUU
ensembl:snRNA U6 U6 spliceosomal RNA